rnacentral:sRNA from 1 species
AUGACUCGGGGACAGGACGCAACCAACUAGAAAGUGAUGUCCGUUAUAAUUAUGACAAAAACCGUAAAAAAAACAACAACAAAUUUUGGUUGCACAAAGUGGAUGUCACUAACCUAGAUAAAUUGUACAUGUCAGGUGUCCAGAUGAAUUUAAGAAACAAAUAUUUCAACGGGCUUUCAAUGUGAGCGUCAGUAAUAUUUCUUACCGUGACUUUACAAGGUUGUCAGUUGACCUGCUGACCCGUGCCCUGUUGACCUGUGACAAUGUUGUCUCUUUAUUUCGUUUUGUCGUAUUUCUUGAUGGCGUCAGGGCAGACUAUCAAACCUUUGACCCCGCCUCCGCCUCCGCCAACUACGUCAUCCACAACUUCAACAUCUAC